UACGUAGGGUGCGAGCGUUGUCCGGAAUUACUGGGCGUAAAGAGCUCGUAGGUGGUUUGUCGCGUUUGUUCGUGAAAUCCCACGGGCUUAACUGUGGGCGUGCGGGCGAUACGGGCAGACUGGAGUACUGCAGGGGAGACUGGAAUUCCUGGUGUAGCGGUGGAAUGCGCAGAUAUCAGGAGGAACACCGAUGGCGAAGGC
rnacentral:rRNA from 1 species